UACGGAGGGUGCAAACGUUGUCCGGAAUCACUGGGCGUAAAGAGCAUGUAGGCGGCUUGGUAAGUGAGCGAUUAAAUCCCGAUGCUCAACAUCGGAACUGUUGCUCAUACUGCCUGGCUAGAGAAUGACAGGGGUAAGCGGAACUUUAGGUGUAGGAGUGAAAUCCGUAGAUAUCUAAAGGAACACCAAUGGCGAAGGCAGCUUACCGGGUUUUUUCUGACGCUGAGAUGCGAAAGCGUGGGGAGCGAACGGG
rnacentral:rRNA from 1 species